AGAGAGAGACAUGCGCGCAUAUCAAUAAGCGGAGGAAAAGAAACUAACUAGGAUUCCCUCAGUAACGGCGAGUGAAGCGGGAAGAGCUCAAAUUUGAAAUCUUCAAGGUUCUACCUUGACGAAUUGUAGUUUAAAGAAGUGUUUUCUGUUGAAGUUUUGGUAAAAGUUCUUUGGAAUAGGACAUCAUAGAGGGUGAGAAUCCCGUAUUUGACCAUUAUUUUCCAGCUGUGUGAUACACUUUCAAAGAGUCGGAUUGUUUGGGAAUGCAGUCCAAAAUGGGUGGUAAAUUUCAUCUAAAGCUAAAUAUUGGCGAGAGACCGAUAGCGAACAAGUACCGUGAGGGAAAGAUGGAAAAGAACUUUGAAAAGAGAGUUAAACAGUACGUGAAAUUGUCAAAAGGGAAGCGUUUGACACCAGUGUUGUUUUCUCGAAAAUCAAUUAAAAAAGGCUAGGAUUUUGUGUUGUAUUGACCUUAAUCAGCUUCUGCACUUCAAUUUUCUUGUCUUUUUUAAUGCACUUUUCGUUUAACAAGUCAACAUCAGUUUCUUUUGUUGUAAAAGGGUCAUUGGAAGGUGGCUUUCUUUUCGGAGAAAGUGUUUAUAGCCUUUGCCUCUGCAAUCGGAGAGAUUGAGGUCUGCAGCGUAGAUCCUUCGGGGUUAGAUACAUUUGUGCUAAGUUAUAGCCUUUCAUAGACAACUUGUUGACUAUGAUCAGUCAUGUAGCUUACUCGCUUAUGCUAUUUUACCUACGCUUAGGAUGUUGAUGUGAUACUGCGAGCA
rnacentral:rRNA from 1 species